UGGGGAAUAUUGGACAAUGGGCGCAAGCCUGAUCCAGCCAUGCCGCGUGAGUGACGAAGGUCUUCGGAUUGUAAAGCUCUUUUUGGCGGGGGACGAUAAUGACGGUACCCGCAGAAUAAGCCCCGGCUAACUUCGUGCCAGCAGCCGCGGUAAUACGAAGGGGGCUAGCGUUGUUCGGAAUCACUGGGCGUAAAGCGCACGUAGGCGGAUUUGUUAGUCAGGGGUGAAAUCCCGGGGCUCAACCUCGGAACUGCCUCUGAUACUGCAAAUCUCGAGUCCGAUAGAGGUGAGUGGAAUUCCUAGUGUAGAGGUGAAAUUCGUAGAUAUUAGGAAGAACACCAGUGGCGAAGGCGGCUCACUGGAUCGGUACUGACGCUGAGGUGCGAAAGCGUGGGGAGCAAACAGGAUUAGAUACCCAAGUAGUCCCUGAGCGGGCUGGCAAGGCGCAU
rnacentral:rRNA from 1 species